rnacentral:pre_miRNA from 1 species
UCUCAAAACAAACCAAAUUUUCACUUUUUACUUUGACUCUUCGUCUUAUUCAAAAAAUUUAUGAUUAAUAUUUUUAUUUUUAUUAGAUGAUAAAUUAUAAAUAGUUUAACGUGUGACUAUUUUUUUUAAUUAUUUAAAAAAUUUCAAAUAAGACGGAUGGUCAAACACUGGGCAGGGGAACCGAAGAAUUGGUUUAUU